rnacentral:rRNA from 1 species
AUUGAACGCUGGCGGCAUGCCUUACACAUGCAAGUCGAACGGCAGCACGGGUGCUUGCACCUGGUGGCGAGUGGCGAACGGGUGAGUAAUACAUCGGAACAUGUCCUGUAGUGGGGGACAGCCCGGCGAAAGCCGGAUUAAUACCGCAUACGAUCCACGGAUGAAAGCGGGGGACCUUCGGGCCUCGCGCUAUAGGGUUGGCCGAUGGCUGAUUAGCUAGUUGGUGGGGUAAAGGCCUACCAAGGCGACGAUCAGUAGCUGGUCUGAGAGGACGACCAGCCACACUGGGACUGAGACACGGCCCAGACUCCUACGGGAGGCAGCAGUGGGGAAUUUUGGACAAUGGGCGAAAGCCUGAUCCAGCAAUGCCGCGUGUGUGAAGAAGGCCUUCGGGUUGUAAAGCACUUUUGUCCGGAAAGAAAUCCUUGACUCUAAUACAGUCGGGGGAUGACGGUACCGGAAGAAUAAGCACCGGCUAACUACGUG